rnacentral:snRNA from 1 species
CCACCACUCUGGCCUCAUAGGCUAAGAUCAAUGUGUAGUAUCUGUUCUCAUUAGCUUAACCGCUAAUAUGAGGGUACGCCCUCCAUUCAUGGUUAACUUAUUUUUGCCAUCCUCUUUCUUGUUCUCUGCUCGCAUCACAAGGAUAUGAUGACCUUGCUCUUGCACUUUAUGCUUGCGUCGUCGGGGAUUU